CUAGAGUUGAUCGCAAACGAAUUGGUUGGCUCUCUGGGCGGCGCAGGGCUCGGGCUUGUACUGGCCCACUGGCCUGCCUCUGCCCUUGCCUCUGAGGCGGCCCACGCGGGGCCUGGCAUUCAUUCGUUCUCCCGGGGGCCCUUGUGUGCAACCUGGUGCGGCUUAGCAAGCCCCACCUGGCGGGCUCCGCUCCGCUCCGCAGGUGUCUUCAACCUCUUCCUCGGGCUGCCGCCCCACUCUCGCGAGAGAAAAGCGUUGUGAGGCUCACGCUCCGAUUUCCGCUUGCCGCGUCCCGGAAGGCUAUUCGCGCAGAGGGCGGGCGCCUUUGCUGUGCGGUUGACACUCGUUCUCCGUGUUGCAGGCCGUGCAAGACACGCUCGGAGGCUUGACAGGGGCCAAAUACACGACCUCGUGUAUCUUGAAAGGGAUUGGGGGCUGCAAGGUCACCCCAGGCCAGUCUGCUGGCAGCCCCACUCCCACCGGCACAGAGCAGAGCGAUUGGGGCCACCAGCAAGCGGUGCGAGUGGCAGCUACUGCCCCAGUUGCCCCGCAGGAGCGAGCAGGAGGAGGUGGAGAAACCCUCAGGAGCACCGGGGCCAGCGGCCGGCACUGGCAGCGGGGGCGAAUGACAGAGACCAGCACCCCAAGCUGGGCGGGUGCCCCUGAGUACCAAGCCAACAAGCCAAGAGACUGACUGGGCGUGCAGGCCCACGGCCCACGGGGAAGGAGAAGGAGAAGGCUUACGGAAUUUCAGGACAUCUGCUCCCCCCCCCCAACCUCAGGAACCAUGGUGACUCCGAUGCAUGAGCACGUGUGUUUGAUGCUGCUGCUAUGGAAACGGUAGCAUCGGGUCUGAUGGGUGAGAAGGCCACCCUUUCAGAGGCAAGGAUUGUGAAAACCAAUGAGCGCCUGGUGAUGAAUCAGAAUAGAGGGAGUGGGAAGACCUAACCGACCCACACGCGGGUUUCUGCUCACUCACUCACUCACUCACUCCAGGCCUGAGGUCACUCGGGGCUAAUCCUCCUCCGGGAAGCACCUCUGCCCCCGGGAAAACCGAUCGCGUGUUCGUUUGCCCCGUUCCGUUCUGGAAGCUUAAAAGUGGUUCCCGUCCCCUAACCCCCCAUAAGCCCAUUCCCAUCCAACGCUCCUUACUCUCAACCCCAGCCUCCAUUUGCCAUCGGUACUGACGAUAGGUCCUCCCUUCCUGCAACUGAUGGAUGGCCUGUGGCUGCCGCUGAGUUUGCAUAGUAAUUUUUUUUCUUCCCUUAGCACACACUGACCGGUGGCGUGGCUGUGGGUGGUGCUGGCAGGCCCCGCCCUGUGCAGCUCCUCCCAGUGGGCCAUUCCUGCCCGAGAAUUCUAACCACCCCCGUGGCCCCCCGCAAAGGAAUUCCCAGGAAGCUGGCCAUUUCCCUUCUCACUCUCUGAUGGUUCUCAAAUUGAAAACCGCAGAGGCUCUUUCUCUCCGUUCCCUCUUAACCAGCAGCUGCCUCCUCCCCAGUCCCGGAGAGCUCAAAUCCGGAGAACCUGAGCUCCAAAGCAGCCUUUCCCAUCUAACACGUCCUCAGCUCAGGCCCAAAGACCGCCUUCCUCAUCGGCCUCUUCUAUUCCCGCGUCCACCCCACCCCUGAGGGAGGCAGCAGGCGCUGAGGGCGCAGUCCGAGGCCACAUCCCGUUCUCUAUGUCCAGCCUCACAGACUGAGAGGCAUCUCGGGUUUCUUUUUCCGCUGAACUAGAUGCAGGUCCACAAACCCCUCAAAAAGACCUCGUUAGCCUGACCUCUAAGGUCUUUGAUAACAGAGACGAGGAGACCCAGAUCCAACAACAAGGCGAGAUCAGGCCCGGGCUGAGGCCCAGCAGGAGGCCCUCCAGCUCCUAGCCACCGCUUUCAAACCCCAAAGGAAGUGCCGGUCCUCCAACCGUGCGUAACUCAGGGGCUGAGCCCCCUCUGGGCCCACGCCUCAAAUGCAGCACGGAAGGACAAUGGCCAAGUCCUGCUCUGACCCGAGAUCCCCGCCUGGACCCUGCCCGAGGCGCGGAAGGGAAGGCCAUUGGAAAUCAGACUGUCACCUGGCUCCUCCGGGUCAGGCCUCACCUCAGCCAGUCCAGCAUGGCCGCCCUCUGGAUCCGGUUUGGACCUCCCAGACCUCCUGGGACUGGCCGCCGAAGAAGCUGCCCAGGCCCUGACAGGGCCCCACAGACUUCUAUCACCAGGACAGAGCCUCGGGGAACGACUGCGGUGGCAGGUAAGCCCAUCUCUUUCUUCAUGGACACCGGGGCCGCUCAUUCUGCCCUCCUAAUUUGCUGGGACCCUCGUCCACUCCUCAGUCUCUAUUAUGGGGGUUGACGGAUCAGUCUCACAGCCAUUAGCCACCUCCAAUUCCCCCAUUCACUCUUUUCUCAUUCUUCCUCGGUGCCCGGCCAGGUCUACCGUGCAUCCCCUCGUAAAACCCAGUUGUCCCAAACCACAGUCACCUACCUCAGUUUCCCUCUCUCAGCCCACAAGGCCGAGCCAUUCCUGGGACUGUAAACGCCUCAUCUCUUUAUCUCCUCUAUCUAUAAGAAGAAUGUGCCCUUUAAAACCGAAGCGGCUAAAGGAGGCCUGGCUAGCCUGGCAACAGGCUGCGGAGCCUGCUCCCCCACCCCCCUUAGAAGUUACUCUGAGCAAGAAAGUGAGGCUUCAGUCCCCGAGCCUGGCAGGACAAGGUUGCUGGACGCUCCUUAAGCUAAACCAGAAUAAUCAGUGUCUAACCUCUUAUCCAACCAUCCCUGUGCCUGGCUUUCACUACUCCUUUCCUUCCUUUUCCCUCCCACUUUCACUGCAGUACAAUCUCAAUCACUCAUCUGUCACCUCUUAUUGGUAGCGCCAUGGUGACUACUCUCUCAGCUUGGAGUGCGGAACUAGAAAAAGGAAUCGCAUACCCUUUAGCCCACCUCUUCUCCUUACACCUUCCAGCUUGUCUCCGUGAUAGG